rnacentral:rRNA from 1 species
ACGGGUGAGUAACGCGUGGGAACGUACCUUUUGGUUCGGAACAACACAGGGAAACUUGUGCUAAUACCGGAUAAGCCCUUACGGGGAAAGAUUUAUCGCCGAAAGAUCGGCCCGCGUCUGAUUAGCUAGUUGGUGAGGUAACGGCUCACCAAGGCGACGAUCAGUAGCUGGUCUGAGAGGAUGAUCAGCCACAUUGGGACUGAGACACGGCCCAAACUCCUACGGGAGGCAGCAGUGGGGAAUAUUGGACAAUGGGGGCAACCCUGAUCCAGCCAUGCCGCGUGAGUGAUGAAGGCCCUAGGGUUGUAAAGCUCUUUUGUGCGGGAAGAUAAUGACGGUACCGCAAGAAUAAGCCCCGGCUAACUUCGUGCCAGCAGCCGCGGUAAUACGAAGGGGGCUAGCGUUGCUCGGAAUCACUGGGCGUAAAGGGUGCGUAGGCGGGUCUUUAAGUCAGGGGUGAAAUCCUGGAGCUCAACUCCAGAACUGCCUUUGAUACUGAGGAUCUUGAGUUCGGGAGAGGUGAGUGGAACUGCGAGUGUAGAGGUGAAAUUCGUAGA